GAUGAACGCUGGCGGCGUGCUUAACACAUGCAAGUCGAACGGGAAACCUCUUAUUGAAGCUUCGGCAGAUUUAGCUGGUUUCUAGUGGCGGACGGGGGAGUAACGCGUGGGUAACCUGCCUUAUACAGGGGGAUAACAACCAGAAAUGGUUGCUAAUACCGCAUAAGCGCACAGGACCGCAUGGUCCGGUGUGAAAAACUCCGGUGGUAUAAGAUGGACCCGCGUUGGAUUAGCUAGUUGGCAGGGUAACGGCCUACCAAGGCGACGAUCCAUAGCCGGCCUGAGAGGGUGACCGGCCACAUUGGGACUGAGACACGGCCCAGACUCCUACGGGAGGCAGCAGUGGGGAAUAUUGCACAAUGGGGGAAACCCUGAUGGAGCCACGCCGCGUGAAGGAAGAAGUAUCUCGGUAUGUAAACUUCUAUCAGCAGGGAAGAUAGUGACGGUACCUGACUAAGAAGCCCCGGCUAACUACGUG
rnacentral:rRNA from 1 species